GAUGAACGCUAGCGGCAGGCCUAACACAUGCAAGUCGAGGGGCAGCGGGUAAGUAGCUUGCUACUUAUGCCGGCGACCGGCGGACGGGUGCGUAACGCGUAUGUAACCUACCUUUGACAGGGGGAUAACAUCGAGAAAUUGGUACUAAUACCCCAUAACAUCACCGGAGGCAUCUUCGGUGGUUGAAAACUCAGGUGGUCAGAGAUGGACAUGCGUUGUAGUAGCUAGUUGGUGAGGUAACGGCUCACCAAGGCGACGAUACAGAGGGGGACUGAGAGGUCAACCCCCCACAUUGGUACUGAGACACGGACCAA
rnacentral:rRNA from 1 species